rnacentral:antisense_RNA from 1 species
UAGGCCUGAAGCGCACGCUGACAAAGGGUUGAUCGCACGCAAUCGUCCGCCGUAAAGCGCACAAUGCCCACCAUCUCAUCUUCCUCAAAACGCGCCAGCGCAUCGGCAAGGCCCGACCUCACCCCAGAUGGCAAAUCGCACUGGGUAAUGUCGCCGUUGACGAUAACCGUCACGUUUUCCCCGAGGCGAGU